rnacentral:rRNA from 1 species
AUACGUAGGGAGCGAGCGUUGUCCGGAAUUACUGGGUGUAAAGGGAGCGUAGGCGGGAGUGCAAGUCAGAUGUGAAAUACAUGGGCUCAACCCAUGGGCUGCAUUUGAAACUGCAUUUCUUGAGUGAAGUAGAGGUAAGCGGAAUUCCUGGUGUAGCGGUGAAAUGCGUAGAUAUCAGGAGGAACACCGGUGGCGAAGGCGGCUUACUGGGCUUUUACUGACGCUGAGGCUCGAAAGCGUGGGGAGCAAACAGGAUUAGAUACCCUGGUAGUCCACGCUGUAAACGAUGAUUACUAGGUGUGGGGGGACUGACCCCUUCCGUGCCGCAGUUAACACAAUAAGUAAUCCACCUGGGGAGUACGGCCGCAAGGUUGAAACUCAAAUGAAUUGACGGGU